GAUGAACGCUAGCGGCAGGCUUAAUACAUGCAAGUCGAGGGACAGCACAGGUAGCAAUACUGGGUGGUAACCGGCAAACGGGUGCGGAACACGUACACAACCUUCCUUUAAGUGGGGGAUAGCCCAGAGAAAUUUGGAUUAAUACCCCGUAAUAUAGUUGAAUGGCAUCAUUUGAUUAUUAUAGCUACGGCGCUUAAUGAUGGGUGUGCGGCUGAUUAGAUAGUUGGCGGGGUAACGGCCCACCAAGUCUACGAUCAGUAGCUGAUGUGAGAGCAUGAUCAGCCACACGGGCACUGAGACAAGGUCCCGACUCCUACGGGAGGCAGCAGUAAGGAAUAUUGGUCAAUGGACGCAAGUCUGAACCAGCCAUGCCGCGUGAAGGAUUAAGGUCCUCUGGAUGGUAAACUUCUUUUAUUUGGGACGAAAAAGGGCCUUUCUAGGUCAACUGACGGUACCAGAUGAAUAAGCACCGGCUAACUCCGUGCCAGCCGCCGCCGUAACAC
rnacentral:rRNA from 1 species